rnacentral:misc_RNA from 1 species
GAAUCAGAUUUCACUAUUAAUAAGUCCAUAAAUAGAUCUGGGUGAGAGAUCAUAACACUCUCAUUUUCAACCUUUUGUGAAGCAAAUCAAUUUCUACAAUAAGGUACAUCUAGUCUAUGGUUUAUUGCUUUAGUUCAUGUCAAAAACAUGUCAUUAAAUCAAGACUAAUGAUACAAAUUCAAGGUCCUAGAUUUUAUGCAUGAACAUGGGUUAGAACCCAUGUGUUUAUGAUUUUCUUCACAAAUCACGAUGCAUAAAAUUAAAAAUAAGAACAAAAUUUUCAAGCACAAGUAUAAAAGAGUUGAAUUCUAUAACUAAAAUGAACAUAC